rnacentral:lncRNA from 1 species
UCAAACACCGUCCACCAACCACAGCCACCACCACAACCACCACCACCUCCUUUUGCAGCCGAAGACGUUCCUCAAACACCGGAUGAGCGUCAAGAAUUCAUGAGGCGGCGUCUACACGCCCAUAUGGUGCCGAUGGUUCUUAUCCCCACCUUUCGUCCUGAUUUUGUUCCGAAUUACCCGAGAUUUGAUCCGUUAUCACACCGGCCUGAAGAUGAGGAUUACCAGGACAGUUUCUUUUUCGAUGAAAACGAUGAGAAUCUACUUCGGUUUUUGGAGGAAGAAGAAGGUGGUGGUGAUACCAUGACUUUCGACAACAACUUCGCUGUUGGUAGUAGUAGUAGUAGUAGUAGUAGUAGUAAUAAUAAUAAUAAUAAUAAUAAUAAUAAUAAUAAUAAUAAUAAUAAUAAUAAUAAUAAUAAUAAUAAUAAUAAUAAUAAUAAUAAUAAUAAUAAUAAUUAAUAGGACCUUUAUCAUUAAAUUAAAUUAUAUUUGGUGAGAACCAUAUACAAAUAUUUCGAAGACUGUACAUGGAUGUUUUUACAGAAUUAAAAACUGUCAAGGGAUUUAGUUCUUAAUCAGUCAUGGAGGCAAGCCCAAAAAAAACGCCGAAGACAUGGCAACAAAGUGGGCGAAUCCAGACUUCGGUGUUAAACCUAAUCCCUGCCUGUUUUUAAUUCAAACCAUACCAGACAUCGAAAUCUUUGUUCAUGGUACUUUUUUUUUUUUUUCUUUUUAUGCCAUGCUAUCAGAUCUUAGUAUCAUGAUAUUAUUCAACAAGAACUUAGCCGGCCAUAUAGGCGGCGAUACAGAAAAUAAAAUUUAAAAUACAAAACAAGAAUU